CCUACGGGAGGCAGCAGUGGGGAAUAUUGGACAAUGGGGGGAACCCUGAUCCAGCCAUGCCGCGUGUGUGAACAAGGCCCUCGGGUUGUAAAGCACUUUCAGUGAGGAAGAACGCCUGGUGGUUAAUACCCAUCAGGAAAGACAUCACUCACAGAAGAAGCACCGGCUAACUCCGUGCCAGCAGCCGCGGUAAUACGGAGGGUGCGAGCGUUAAUCGGAAUUACUGGGCGUAAAGCGCGCGUAGGUGGCUUGAUAAGCCGGUUGUGAAAGCCCCGGGCUCAACCUGGGAACGGCAUCCGGAACUGUCAAGCUAGAGUGCAGGAGAGGAAGGUAGAAUUCCCGGUGUAGCGGUGAAAUGCGUAGAGAUCGGGAGGAAUACCAGUGGCGAAGGCGGCCUUCUGGACUGACACUGACACUGAGGUGCGAAAGCGUGGGUAGCAAACAGGAUUAGAUACCCUAGUAGUC
rnacentral:rRNA from 1 species